AUCUUUGUGUCUUCUAA
rnacentral:sRNA from 1 species